UACGUAGGGGGCAAGCGUUGUCCGGAAUCAUUGGGCGUAAAGAGCGUGUAGGCGGUCCGGUAAGUCGGCUGUGAAAGUCCAGGGCUCAACCCUGGAAAGCCGGUGGAUACUGUCGGGCUAGAGUCCGGAAGAGGCGAGUGGAAUUCCUGGUGUAGCGGUGGAAUGCGCAGAUAUCAGGAGGAACACCGAUGGCGAAGGCAGCUCGCUGGGACGGUACUGACGCUGAGGCGCGAAAGCGUGGGGAGCGAACAGG
rnacentral:rRNA from 1 species